rnacentral:misc_RNA from 1 species
CAGGAGGGCAUCCGGAAACUGGUUUUUGAUUUGCUCGCCCCCCUGCACAUCGAUGUCGAGGAGCACGUCGACCCCACCGUCGAGCUGCUUCUUCACGGCGUUGAUGCUGGUGCCGUACCUGUGGCCAAAAACCUCGGCGAAUUCGAUGAACUCACGUUUCGAGACCAUGCGAUCGAACUCGGCG